UACGGGAGGCAGCAGUGGGGAAUAUUGCACAAUGGGCGCAAGCCUGAUGCAGCCAUGCCGCGUGUAUGAAGAAGGCCUUCGGGUUGUAAAGUACUUUCAGUCGUGAGGAAGGUGUUAAGGUUAAUAACCUUAGCAAUUGACGUUAGCGACAGAAGAAGCACCGGCUAACUCCGUGCCAGCAGCCGCGGUAAUACGGAGGGUGCGAGCGUUAAUCGGAAUUACUGGGCGUAAAGGGCACGCAGGCGGUUAAUUAAGUUGGAAUGUGAAAUCCCCGGGCUUAACCUGGGAAUGGCAUUCAAGACUGGUUAGCUAGAGUCUUGUAGAGGGGGUAGAAUUCCAUGUGUAGCGGUGAAAUGCGUAGAGAUGUGGAGGAAUACCGGUGGCGAAGGCGGCCCCUGGACAAAGGACUGACGCUCAUGUGCGAAAAGCGUGGGGAGCGAAACAGGGAUUAGAUACC
rnacentral:rRNA from 1 species